rnacentral:rRNA from 1 species
AUUGAACGCUGGCGGCAUGCCUUACACAUGGCAAGUCGAACGGCAGCAUGGGUGCUUGCACCUGAUGGCGAGUGGCGAACGGGUGAGUAAUGCAUCGGAACGUACCCGGAAGUGGGGGAUAACGUAGCGAAAGUUACGCUAAUACCGCAUAUUCUGUGAGCAGGAAAGCGGGGGAUCGCAAGACCUCGCGCUUCCGGAGCGGCCGAUGUCGGAUUAGCUAGUUGGCGGGGUAAAGGCCCACCAAGGCAACGAUCCGUAGCGGGUCUGAGAGGAUGAUCCGCCACACUGGGACUGAGACACGGCCAGACUCCUACGGGAGGCAGCAGUGGGGAAUUUUGGACAAUGGGCGCAAGCCUGAUCCAGCCAUGCCGCGUGAGUGAAGAAGGCC